UUGAACUGAUGCAUUCUGACUGUACUACACAUUCCCAAUCAUGCUACUCGAGUGCCAUGCUGGGAAGAUCUGUUUCCCACUGGGCAGUUUUCCCAGUGGUGAGGGGUUGGGAUCGCCCAAUUCUGAGAGGCAGUCACUCCUGAUGGUGAGAGCAACUUCUGAGCAGCUUCCGUGGUAUCUUGGAGGUGAAAAAGCUGGUUGGGUGUUUAGCCCCAAAGCCACCAGCUGGCUCCCAGGGAGAACCAUAGGAGACUCUUAGUGGAGCAGAGUAAGCAUGGGUUGCUCCUGGAGACAAAAAGGACUCCGGAAGAAGGGGACCUGACUGGAGGAGCAGGGCAGGUUGGAGGAGGAGGAGCCGGCAAUCCUUGCAUCAGGGAUUGGUCUAAACUGUGGACUGCUGAGGGCCUUUGAGGCAGGGAGAAAGUCCUGCUGUGCUGCACUUUCUCCUUGGUUUUGGGCUUUUGUGGAGACCUGCUGCUUGGACCGGUUUUGGCUGUCUUCUGACUGUGAAGGUGGAUAUUAUAGAGAGAGUUGACAUAUGUAAAUAAAGGCUUGAGUCCUUGUCGAUGCAACUGAGUUUCAGAAUCGCCUAUUUGGGACAUCUUGGUAGGUUGGCUUUUCUGCGGAUUGAAGUCCAAAGAAUCUAACUGAUAGACAUACUUUUUCCCUAACUCAUCUAACAUGAGCAGGCACAAAGCAAACCCUUCAGCAAAGAAUUGAUAAACACUCUGGUUUUGUUAUGGCUUAAAGCGAGAUUCUGGACCCCGGAGGAUUUCUGAGGAGUUUGACUGUGCAGUCACAUGACAGAGGAACUGGAAACUAACUUGAACAAAAGGUAGCAGGCUGGACGGCCAAGGAAUCUCCUUUUCUGUCAAGACAACAAGCUGCUUACCUCAGAAUCAGCUGCUUCUUUGUUUAGUUCUUUUUCUCUUCCUGAAGGAUUUGGAACUGAGAUCCAUCCAUCCAUCCAGCAAAUAUCUAUCACACCCCCUGUAUGUGAGCAUUUACCUAUGUGGCGGUAAUGGGGACCCUGGGUUCCCCUCAACCGGGUGCUAUGUGCACUGUAACAACUGUGGCAGUGCUGUGGGCUGUGGGCUGUGGGCUCUUUUGUCAACAGCCUCCUGCUCCCAAAGCUGGGCCCUUCUAAAGAUGGUGUCAGAGAGAGCCCUUGAGGAACUCAGCCUAGCAAAGAGUUAUCCAGUGACAACCAAGCAGAGCCACUGCGUCGGGUGUGAAAAGACAUGCUGCCAGCGUACUAUGGGUGCUAUCGCACUGAAACGUGCAGAAUGGGUGUCACGGCAUGGAAGAAAGUCUCUGAGCAGAGACUUAAGAAAUGCAGCCUCACCAACAGUCACUUGACAGAUGAGGACACAGACCCAGAGAGGACAAGUCGCUCAUCUUACAUGUGUUAACCCAUCAAGCUGUACACUUAAGACUUACACACUUUACUCUUGGGUAUGUUUUAUUUCAGUUAAAAAAAGCAAACAGGAACAAAAGAAAAAAUGACCCUUGAUAUUUUUUGCCAUCACUGAGAAAAAGGAAUAAAGGCAGAACUUUGAAUAAAGAGAAAAUCAAUGAUACUUUACAUGUUUUAAAUUAGUCAUUAUGAGAAUGGUCUAAUUAAUUUAUCAUCCCUCUCCUGCUAGAAGCUCUUCUAAAUCUUACAUUGAAGUUUCAACUUCGGUUUCAAUGAGAUGCUUCUAAACUUGUGAUGAUGUGUAAUAGGGGUGCCGGGAUCUUCGUGUUGAUCUUAGAGUUCAGAGUCAUGUCCUGAAGUUGUUGGUUCCCACUCUGGGGUCAGGAG
ensembl:lncRNA